UACGUAGGGGGGCAAGCGUUGUCCGGAAUUAUUGGGCGUAAAGAGCGUGUAGGCGGCCUGAUAAGUCGGCUGUGAAAGUCAAGGGCUCAACCCUUGAAUGCCGGCCGAUACUGUCAGGCUAGAAUCCGGAAGAGGCGAGUGGAAUUCCUGGUGUAGCGGUGAAUGCGCAGAUAUCAGGAGGAACACCUAUGGCGAAGGCAGCUCGCUGGGACGGUAUUGACGCUGAGACGCGAAAGCGUGGGGAGCGAACAGG
rnacentral:rRNA from 1 species